rnacentral:rRNA from 1 species
GACGAACGCUGGCGGCGUGCUUAACACAUGCAAGUCGAACGGUAAGGCCCUUCGGGGUACACGAGUGGCGAACGGGUGAGUAACACGUGGGUAACCUGCCCAUAAGAGGGGGAUAACAUCCGGAAACGGGUGCUAAUACCGCAUAGGUUUCUUGGUCGCAUGAUCGAGAAAGGAAAGACGGCCUUUGUGCUGUCGCUUAUGGAUGGACCCGNGGCGUAUUAGUUAGUUGGUGAGGUAAUGGCUCACCAAGACGAUGAUACGUAGCCGACCUGAGAGGGUGAUCGGCCACAUUGGGACUGAGACACGGCCCAAACUCCUACGGG